UGGGGAAUUUUGGACAAUGGGGGCAACCCUGAUCCAGCCAUCCCGCGUGUGCGAUGAAGGCCUUCGGGUUGUAAAGCACUUUUUGGCAGGGAAGAAACAGCCUGGGAUAAUACCCCGGGCGACUGACGGUACCUGCAGAAUAAGCACCGGCUAACUACGCGCCAGCAGCCGCGGUAAUACGUAGGGUGCAAGCGUUAAUCGGAAUUACUGGGCGUAAAGCGUGCGCAGGCGGUUCGGAAAGAAAGGUGUGAAAUCCCAGGGCUUAACCUUGGAACUGCACUUUUAACUACCGAGCUAGAGUACGUCAGAGGGGGGUAGAAUUCCACGUGUAGCAGUGAAAUGCGUAGAGAUGUGGAGGAAUACCGAUGGCGAAGGCAGCCCCCUGGGAUGAUACUGACGCUCAUGCACGAAAGCGUGGGGAGCAAACAGGAUUAGAUACCCUGGUAGUCCACGCCCUAAACGAUGUCAACUAGCUGUUGGGGUUUAUUAACCUUAGUAGCGCAGCUAACGCGUGAAGUUGACCGCCU
rnacentral:rRNA from 1 species